GGCCGCGGAGGGCGGUGGCCUGGCCCGGCCCGCGUGCGCAGCAGGCCCCGGCUGCCCCGAAACCGCCGCUUUUUGGCACCAAGGUGGAAGAGCAGCCAGAGAGGAAGCUUGGAGGGGCCUGAGCGCUGGCGGGCCUCGGUAAAGCCGUGUACAAAAUGGAACCUCAUCACCCUUCAUUUAACCUCGCAGCUCCGCAGUGGAGGAGAAAAAUGAGAACAGUGUCUAUUUUAGAGACGAGCGAGUUGAGUCCUAGAGUCAGUGUCAUCACCUGAAAGCAAAAUCAGAGAGAUUCCUUACAGCUGAUGAAGAGCCAGCUCUUCACCAAAUGAGCUCCAUAGUCUCCAAAGCCUCCAUUUUGAAGACUCAUCUGCCCAGGGAGCAAGGGUCUCCACUGGCUCCACACAGUGCAAUUAACCACCUCAGUUCAAAGUAAAUUCCUCAAACAAAUCUUUG
rnacentral:lncRNA from 1 species